UACAGAGGUCUCAAGCGUUGUUCGGAUUCAUUGGGCGUAAAGGGUGCGUAGGUGGCGCUGUAAGUCGGGUGUGAAAUUUCGGAGCUUAACUCCGAAACUGCAUUCGAUACUGCGGUGCUUGAGGACUGGAGAGGAGACUGGGAUUUAUGGUGUAGCAGUGAAAUGCGUAGAGAUCAUAAGGAAGACCAGUGGCGAAGGCGGGUCUCUGGACAGUUCCUGACACUGAGGCACGAAGGCCAGGGGAGCAAACGGG
rnacentral:rRNA from 1 species